rnacentral:rRNA from 1 species
UGCCCCAUAGUCUGGGAUACCACUUGGAAACAGGUGCUAAUACCGGAUAAGAAAGCGGAUCGCAUGAUCAGCUUUUAAAAGGCGGCGUAAGCUGUCGCUAUGGGAUGGCCCCGCGGUGCAUUAGCUAGUUGGUAAGGUAAAGGCUUACCAAGGCGAUGAUGCAUAGCCGAGUUGAGAGACUGAUCGGCCACAUUGGGACUGAGACACGGCCCAAACUCCUACGGGAGGCAGCAGCC